GGUGUUGCUGAAGAAGCUGGGGAGGCAAGACGAGGGCGGCGUGGCGUUCCGUGGCCGCGGUGGCCGGAGGGGCGGCUCCACGUCGCGGUGUAUGAGGUGCGUAGAGGAGGAUGCCGCGGCAGGUUAAACUCUUCUCGCGUUGUAGAGCAGUCCGCAGUGUCGUCACGGUCGUCCUUGCCUUCGAGCCAUCCGUGACGCCGUCGUCGUCGCCUAGAGGACGCUGGUAGGAAGCAGCAGCUCGCCGUUUCCUUGGUCCCCGCCGACGCCAAGCGAGAAGAGAAGGCACGUGUGCUGUAGGUGUAGCAAAUUGGACAAGCUACACCGCUAAUGCCGGGUGUAUGGAGCUCAGGAAGGCUAUCUGCAACAAGCUUCAGGAGGAUAAUGGUCUAACCAAUAGCCCAGAUCAUGUGCUAGCGACCAAUGGGGCUAAGCAAUGCACUACACACGCUGUUCUUGAUGUUCUCUCAUGUGGUGAUGAGCGCCAUGGAUUAGUCCCUGCUGUAGGAGAGAGAGAAGAUGAGAGGGAGAGAGAGAGAAGGAAGGAGAGGAGGGAGAAAGAGAGAGGAAAGAGUAGCUGGAGGUGCGUCGACCGGCGUCGGCAUGUGCUGGCAAGGUUGGGCGGGACCGGGCGGUUGGGUGCGGCUCCGUGGUUUCAGAUGGGGCACCGUGGGGAGCCAGGGAGGCGGCUUGGCCCAGCCAUGGCGUUGGUGCUGCGGAGCGCCGCCUCGCGCUACUUCGUCGUCGACACUACGGGCUUCGCCACCGCCUACGCGAUGCCGCUCUAGGGGGAUCAGCAGCAGCCCCCCUUGCUGUAGGGGCCCAGCCAGCAGGUCGGGGCCAAGCUGGGGCCCUGCGCCGAGUGCAGUGCCACCGGCACCAAGAAGUGCUCCGGGUGCAAGCGCAUGCAUAUUGGUCGGCACUGCUGUUGUCACCGGGCAGAAUGGCCGACUGGCCAUGGGCAGGCUCAGAGCCCUCUGCGAGCAGGUAACUGAAUUUUCUGACCAAGGAGCUUUCUAAACCUAUAAAAAAUCAUUCUGACAGUUGCUGACCGGUAAAUAUGUGGAACUGUUUCAGGUGAAGAAGCUUAAUUUCCAGGGGUAUGAGGUGAUUCUGUUCGUCUCCGGCGCCGUUGGCAUCGGGAGGCAGAGGCUCAAGUACCGAAAGCUCAUCAACAGCCAUGUUGCAGAGAGUUUUUUCUGACAGCAGUUUACUGACGGUCAUUGCCUCUGGUUAUCGUCACUGCUUGUGUGCUGAUAAUUCUCCUUGCUUGAAGUUUUGCCGAUCUGCAAAACCCACAGUUGGACCUGGAUGGGAAGGCCUGCGCUACCGUCGGCCAGAGUGGCCUCAUGGCUAUCUACGAUACACUGUUUAGCCAACUUGAUGUGACAUUGUCUCAGCUUCUUGUCAUAGAUCGUGAUUUCCGGGAUCCAAGUUUUGGGCUCCAGCUUCAUGAGACUGAAUUUUGUUUAAGGCUAACAGUGAAAAUUUUAUUUGUAAAAUAUGGCGAUCCCUAUAGUGGUAUUUCUGAAGCUUCGCUAUGCUUGCUUUCCCACCAACAAGCAGUAAUCCAAUCACUGGUGCACCAGCGGCCAUCCACCAGGACGAUGCUGACAGCCAAAAAAGCUCCUUCCCCACCGCUGACAGCCGAAACUGCUCUUGUGCUCAUCAAGGUUAGUCAAUGUAUAGGACUGCGCUUUUGUGUGUCCUUUCCUUCAAGCUGUCAUUCAGGAGAAGAGAGGAGCGAGGCCUCGAUCCAGACUCAGGAGGAGGAGGAGACGAGGAGCAACACCUAUUUUUAUUGUCCGUCAAGCCCCAUUAUACUUUGCGGUUCCAGCCACCUGAUCACUAACCUGAAUGAGUAAGUAGACCAUUAUAUAUGAUGGUCUUGCUUCCUUUUAUGAUCAUGUAUCUGUGUUAGAUCCGGUGAGAAAAGGCGGCUUCGAAGCAGAGGAUGCGGCAGUGUUGGCCACGUUUGGUUUUCAUAAGCUAAUAAUCUAUCCCUUCCUAUCUACUUCCUUUGUGUACCACAUUGUAACUAAUCAUCUAUGUAUCAAUAGUAAAGACUUGGGUGUCUGAAUAUUCUCACAAUAGUUGUCUCCCUCUCGCCCUUUGCGUCAUUGGCGCAACGAGUCAUCUAGUUGGAUGAACAGCCAAACUGAACUCGUCUAGUCGUCGGCGUAUGUCUAUUUGCUAGCUGUUGUUGAGCUUGCAGAUUAUAUAUGAUUAACCGAUCCUGAAUUCCUGAUUGUGAUUGGUAGGGUGUGCUGUCGACCAGUUGUUGGAGCUGGCUGUGCUGUUGGCAUGCAUGAACCAUAUAUAUUACUCCCCCAUUGCUAAAUAUAAGUCUUUUUAAAGACUCCAA